rnacentral:rRNA from 1 species
CCUACGGGAGGCAGCAGUGAGGAAUAUUGGUCAAUGGACGAGAGUCUGAACCAGCCAAGUAGCGUGAAGGAUGACUGCCCUAUGGGUUGUAAACUUCUUUUAUAAAGGAAUAAAACGAGGCACGUGUGCCUUUUUGCAUGUACUUUAUGAAUAAGGAUCGGCUAACUCCGUGCCAGCAGCCGCGGUAAUACGGAGGAUCCGAGCGUUAUCCGGAUUUAUUGGGUUUAAAGGGAGCGUAGAUGGGUUGUUAAGUCAGUUGUGAAAGUUUGCGGCUCAACCGUAAAAUUGCAAUGGAUACUGGCAGUCUAGAGUACAGUUGAGGUAGGCGGAAUUCGUGGUGUAGCGGUGAAAUGCUUAGAUAUCACGAAGAACCCCGAUUGCGAAGGCAGCUUACUAAACUGUGACUGACAUUGAUGCUCGAAAGUGUGGGUAUCAAACAGGAUUAGAUACCCUAGUAGUC